AGUGAACGCUGGCGGUAGGCCUAACACAUGCAAGUCGAACGGCAGCACAGUAAGAGCUUGCUCUUACGGGUGGCGAGUGGCGGACGGGUGAGGAAUACAUCGGAAUCUACUUUUUCGUGGGGGAUAACGUAGGGAAACUUACGCUAAUACCGCAUACGACCUACGGGUGAAAGCAGGGGAUCUUCGGACCUUGCGCGAUUGAAUGAGCCGAUGUCGGAUUAGCUAGUUGGCGGGGUAAAGGCCCACCAAGGCGACGAUCCGUAGCUGGUCUGAGAGGAUGAUCAGCCACACUGGAACUGAGACACGGUCCAGACUCAUACGGGAGGCAGCAGUGGGGAAUAUUGGACAAUGGGCGCAAGCCUGAUACAGCCAUACCGCGUGGGUGAAGAAGGCCUUCGGGUUGUAAAGCCCUUUUGUUGGGAAAGAAAAGCAGCAGGUUAAUACCCCGCUGUUCUGACGGUACCCAAAGAAUAAGCACCGGCUAACUUCGUG
rnacentral:rRNA from 1 species